rnacentral:rRNA from 1 species
UACGAAGGGGGCUAGCGUUGCUCGGAAUGACUGGGCGUAAAGGGCGCGUAGGCGGCUCAUACAGUCAGAUGUGAAAUUCCUGGGCUUAACCUGGGGGCUGCAUUUGAUACGUGUGGGCUUGAGUGGGGAAGAGGGUCGUGGAAUUCCCAGUGUAGAGGUGAAAUUCGUAGAUAUUGGGAAGAACACCGGUGGCGAAGGCGGGUCUCUGGGCCGAUACUGACGCUGAGGAGCGAAAGCGUGGGGAGCGAACAGG